rnacentral:rRNA from 1 species
GACGAACGCUGGCGGCGUGCUUAACACAUGCAAGUCGAACGGUGAAGCACCUUCCUUUUGGUGGGUGUGGAUGAGUGGCGAACGGGUGAGUAACACGUGAGUAACCUGCCCCCUUCUUCUGGAUAACCGCAUGAAAGUGUGGCUAAUACGGGAUAUUCUGUGCCUGCUGCAUGGUGGGUGUGGGAAAGAUGCGCUUUUGGGUGUUUGUGGUGGGGGAUGGGCUCGCGGGCUAUCAGCUUGUUGGUGGGGUGAUGGCCUACCAAGGCGGUGACGGGUAGCCGGCCUGAGAGGGUGGACGGGCAAACUGGGACUGAGACACGGCCGAGACUAAUACGGGAGGCAGCAGUGGGGAAUAUUGCACGAUGGGCGCAAGCCUGAUGCAGCGACGCCGCGUGAGGGAGGGAGGCAUUCGGGAUGUAAACCUCUUUCGAGAGUGAAGCAGGCCUGUCGCUUGUGGGUGGGUUGACGGUAGCUGGAUAAGAAGCGCCGGCUAACUACGUG